rnacentral:rRNA from 1 species
UACGUAGGGUGCAAGCGUUAAUCGGAAUUACUGGGCGUAAAGCGUGCGCAGGCGGCUUUGCAAGACAGAUGUGAAAUCCCCGGGCUUAACCUGGGAACUGCAUUUGUGACUGCAUGGCUAGAGUGCGGCAGAGGGGGAUGGAAUUCCGCGUGUAGCAGUGAAAUGCGUAGAUAUGCGGAGGAACACCGAUGGCGAAGGCAAUCCCCUGGGCCUGCACUGACGCUCAUGCACGAAAGCGUGGGAGCAAACAGG